GAGUGCUGGGAUGACAGGCCCGUGCCACCAUGCCUGGCUGAGGAUACAUGUCCGUGGCACUUCACUAGGGCUUUAUUAGUCCUUGGAAGGAAUACCAGGUUUAUCAAAAGACAAAGAAAACAACAGAAUGGCAAUUAAAUCUCCCUGAGUAUUACAGCAACUUCUCAAAUAUGGUGUGGAGUAUAUGCGAAUUAAAAGCCAGCCUUGAUGCCCAACUCAAGCUGAACUGAAUGUCCUGUAACACAUCUAGGCCCUACGCCUCUAUCUCCUCCCACCUCUGGGCCCCACCUCCUUCCUGCCAGCAGCUCACCCUGCAGGUUCUGGUCCCUUGGGGUAGGAAGGACCCUAGGAGUACGUUGACAAAGAGGAUGAGAUCUUUGGCUCCAGAAGCCGACUCCUGAGCCUCUGCUAAACAACCAUGGGACUUUUCACAAGUAUCCCCCAUGCCACUUCCGGGUUUUUGAGACGAGGCUUCAGGGCCGAACCUAAGCAGAGGAAGGUAAGAACCCUGCAACUUACUGCUGUGACAAGAGGACUUGGCCCCGGGGACCCAGAAUCCAGGGGCAGUGCUAUCAGCGAGACACUUGGUGCAGAGGGACGUGAGGAGGCAGCUGCUGGAACUGCUGGGAAGUGAGCUGCCCUGCUAUUUUCUGUUCUUCUGAGACAGCAGGGGACCCAGGGUUCAGGUUCCAACAAUCCUGAACGGCGCUGUGAUCCCAGCAAAUUCCUUAACCGAGGCAAAUGCCUCUGUUUCUUCAACUGCAAAGUGGGGCUAAUGCUGCCUAGUUAUGCAGGAGGCGCAUAAUAAAGGCUUGCUGUCCCAGCUGCUGCCGUGCCUGGGGUGGUAAGCGCAUUACCUGGUGAUGGUAUUCACGAAUUUUUCUGAGAACAGCCUUCCCUUGAGGAAAGCUAAUCUCCAAAAGGGCAAAGCCUCUUGGGUCCUGUUGGAGCCUCGGCAAGAACACAAGCCGCUGCAGACUGCCUUCAUUUCAGCUACAUUUUAUUUGUCGCAGUUUUGACAGACGUCUAAAUUAUACAUUGAGCUUUCCACAUGACCAAACACCACGUCCCUUCCUUUGAUUAUCAUUUUCAAAAGGGACUAUAAAAAAAGAACCUUUCGAUGGAUCACACUGAACCCUGAAACCACAUGGAGAGCAGAGCUAAAAAUAAAGGAAGAAGCGUCCCGAGAAGGAGAGGAAGGGAAAUCAAAGCAUACUGCAGAUGGGAAUGGAGGCCUGGGUCCUGGUGAGGGUGACAUGGUGUCACCCUCCAGGCCAGGCCGGAAAAGGAGCGGCCAACAGUGAGGGUGGGGCCCAGAGUGGCAUUAAAAAUAGCCACCACUUUAGUCCGGAGGGGCAAUAAAGAAAUCGUCAAGGCCAGGGGACAGAGGAGGAGGAGGAGGAGGGCGGACUCGGGCAAGACCGUCCUUGUGUGCAGCAUCUCAGGCUGCGGACUUUUCUACCGGGCCGAGCUAAGCGCCGGCAUAAUCGCUGACUUUCAGCUGUGCGCCGACAUGUUCCCCAGCUCAGCCCACAUCAAUGACACCCUUGUUUCCAUAGUAACCAAGGGAGAGCGAAGGGGAAAGGGUGUACUGCACUGGGCUAAGGGAAUCCAGCCAAAAGCAGCCACACGGGGAGGGUGGGAGGAGGGCUCAGUUUUUCCCACAACUGGUUUAGUACACACUGUGGACUUUGCCUGCCCUCUGGCCUCAGCCCUCGCCCCCUGCACAUUCAGACGCAAUGGUGCACAGAGCAAAAGUCUUACCAGGGCUCCCUGGGAUGGGGGAGGCCCAGGGCUGGGGGAUCCCCUUUCUAGAUUCAGAAUCUGUCCUCUGGUCAUGGCCACAGGGGCACGGGUGGCACCGUAGAGAGGAAAGGGGACUUGACAAACAUUUUGUUUUUACAAAUGGGAGCUUUCAAACUCUGCAUUUUCCAGGCUCCUCUCAUCUAUCCUGAGCCCCCGGAGGGUUCAACAGGGUUCACAGGCAAGAUGAAAGCCUGUGACAACCACAGUUGUCUCUGGUGUCUCUGGCUGAAAAGCAAUGUGGACAUUCACAGCGGCUUCCAUCAGAGCAGGGCAAGCAGCUCUGGCCGCUAGCUGGGGCCUGGGGACAGCUCUUUAGAACAGUUCCUUCAGUUGGUGCUAAGAGACCAAACACAUUUUACAGAUCCUGCUCUUCAGAGUCAAAGUCCCCGCUGCAGCAUUCCAAAACUAGACCUCAAAGCAGGCAUGCAGCCCUUCAGAUAACAUCCUGGGGGCACUAUUUGGAAGGAAGAGCAAGUCUCAAGGCCAAAGCUCCAUCUGGAGGCUGGAGAAAGGGCUUUUCUGAUUCCUUAUAGCUCUGUCUGCCACCCUUCAAAGCAGAGAAGUCGGUGGAAGAGGUGGCAGGCCUAACGAGCCUGAGGUUUAAACCCUCUCACUUUCUUCUUCUUUUGUCUUGCAAGCCCUCACAGGUCUGUCCACUGCAACCACAGCCACCACUCCCCCAGGCUUUGUCAGACUUUUCAUCUCAGCUGCCUUUCAAACUGUACAAGCUUCUCCCUCCCCAGAGUCCAGAAUAGCUGGGUACCAUGGGGCAGGGGCUUCUGUGGCACUUUCUGUUAGCUCACACAUCACGGUGGACUUGGAAAGGGCCACCUCCCAGGAUGAGAAGGCAGCUGGCCUCCUUGGACCUACCAGGCAUUGGAUAGUCUCUUAUUUAUUCUCUGAAAAGCCCUGAGCUCAUGCCCAGAACAGAGUUUAAUUCAGGAGCAGGCGAUGCUCUGGCCUGCUUUUGGGGUUUGAGGCUGGGAUUUCUGAGGGCUCAGGGAGGAAGGGCAGGGCUUCUGCACCGCUCCCUAUCAGCCAACACGUUUUGCUGGAAAGAAGCAGAGGAGACCAGCAUGGGGUGAGUGGUUUCCCUGGGCACAACCCCUGCGAUCAUCCCAUGUUCCCCGCAGCAGAUGCUUCCCAUCCGGGAGCUUCCCACACCACCGAGUGCCCGCACUGUAAAAAUUGAUCUCUUCUCAAAAUCGAUCUGCCUGGCUUUUCUCAGUGGAGCAGGUUCAUGGCAAAGCUGCAUUUAUUUUUAAAAUCUGAUAGCAUCGGCCUAUUGUGAUCAUUUAAACACAGAAUUCUUUGAGCUUUAGAAAUCCCCUCUACAGGACUGCAGUGGAGAAGUCGGCGGCCGGGCGGCGAACCUGGAGUCGACUGGCCCUGCUCCACUGAGCUGGAGAAAGCCUGUUUACGCUAGCCUGAGCUCUCCAUGUGAGUGAGGGCUUUUUAAGGACCUUGUAAUUUUUCUGGAAUUAAACCUCCCACCUCUUCUUACAUUCCAGAUGUCAUUACAGUCAAAAGUCAUAAGAAUCUGCUGCCCCGCGUGGCUGGCAGGGGUGAGGGCUGGGGGGCUGGAGUGGGGAUGUUUCUGUAGUGACCUGUUUGCAAGGAUUUUUUUUCUUCUGCCUAUAAAGUGGGGAUUACAUACAGUGUCUUACCUACCUGACAAGAUGGUUUUAACCAUCUGCUGUCCUUUGCCUCCCCAAGCAGCUUCCUGCUGGAGAGACUAAAGCCCUGGCUCUGUUGGGGAUGAGAACAAAAAAAAAAAAAAAAAAA